rnacentral:rRNA from 1 species
UACGAAUGUGGCAAGCGUUGUUCGGAAUCACUGGGCGUAAAGAGUACGUAGGCGGCUUGAUAAGUCAGGAGUGAAAUCCCAGGGCUCAACCCUGGAACUGCUCUUGAAACUAUCUGGCUAGAAGCUCGGAGAGGUUGGCGGAAUUCCCAGUGUAGAGGUGAAAUUCGCAGAUAUUGGGAGGAACACCAGUGGCGUAAGCGGCCAACUGGACGAGCAUUGACGCUGAGGUACGAAAGCGUGGGGAUCAAACAGGAUUAGAAACCCCCGUAGUCC